CACCCAGAAAAAAAAUACUCCAUCCAGCCCAACCUUCCUUGCCCACUCCUCUCGAUCCCAUCGUUCGUGGCCGCCGCCGUCCGAGGGGAGUCGCCGCCGCCGCGUCUCUCGAUCCCAUCGGCCCCGUCGGAUCUCGCCGCUGGCGGACGACUCGAGAAGACCCCGCCGGAUCUCGCCCUCGUCAUCAGUUCUGGAUCGCCGCCGCCGCCGAUCCCCUCCGGAAAACAACGCCGAUCCCCUGCUCGCCCACGCACGCUGCCGCGGAUGAAGGCCGCCUGCUCGCGAUCCCCAAACCUGCUGGCGCCGCGCUCCGUAGGAUCCAAGUACGCCCCUCUCCGUGGUGUUCACUGAUUGCUUGGAGCAACAACGUGCUGUUGGAGUUGCCGAAGCAUUAGGUGAUUCGAUUGUGUGCGUUUGCUGGAUUUGUUUGACGAAGGAAAGAUGACGAUGAAGGACACACAGAGGAGUGUGAGCGGUGAUGGUACCAAGGUUACCGGCAGGUAUGCAUGCAGGAACUGACUGUACAGUGUUCCUAUAAUGCUACUGGUUUUAACGUCUGUACUGUGAUGCUACUGGCAGUUUAAAUAAAUCUGCUAUCAUUUGGGAUGUGAGUUGUCACAACUCGCUGUGCUCUGGUGUUCAGCUCAGAAUUUCUUUUGGGAAUGAUUCCUCUGAAUAGACUACUUAUGCUUGACAUUUUACUUUUGUUAUUUCUAUUUGUAACUCAAUUUCGGUAUCCUCUCAAAUUGACAAUACUUUUUCUGGAUAUGGUAGUUGAGAAUAGUUAUGGUAUAUAGCGGAGUUAGCCCAUCCUCACCAAUGACUCUUCCUCAGGGAUUUGCUGAACUAGAGUUAGUAAUGGGGGUAUUGCAGACUGUUUAGAAUUAUGGGGGUAUUGCAGACUUUAGAAACUGAAUUAAAUUUUUGUGCAAUUGAAAAAGGUGUAUACAACUUGAAUUUAUUAGGUAGUAUAGGAGAGAUAUGAAAUUUUAAAAUUGUUAGUCAGAUUUGUGUGUUGUUUUGGGUAGUAUUCAGUUUUGUUCCAUCUGAGAUGCCAAUAAUGCACAUGUGAUAUUAUCUACAUAAUUCAGUUUAUACGGCUUCCCAUAUUCCAAUGGUUGUAUUUUGCUAAAUUGCCAUCUACUUACUGGAAUUCUCACAAAUAGAAGUGCAGUCAGAAGGUAAAAAGGAUGGUAUGGUAUGUCUCCAUUCACAUGGUACUGAACUGUUAGUGAUUCUUUGUGUUAUUCUGCAGACUUGAACUUAGUUUCUAUGGUUUUCUUUUUCUGUUCAUAGACGAGAGUAUAGUCUGAAGGGAAAAAUUGGUAUGCUCUGAAGGGUGUGCAAGAACAGUGAGAUUUAUAUUACUGAAUGUAUUGUUAACAAUUUGUUAUUUUGCAGACUUGCUCUCAGUUUUUAUUCUUGGCAGGUGAUUCUUCAUGAUAAUUUUUUGUAGAGGAACAUUUUUGCGAUGGGGCCGGGAACGGUGAUCGGUGGUGCUGGUGUCGGCAGUGCGGUACAAGGUCAGGAUGCGGGAUGGGACGGCCAUCCGUGUGAGGCAGUCGGCGGCGAGGGUUUGUGGCAUCACGAGGAGCGCCCACGGAUUCAAGGUGUUGGCCCGAGACCUCCGACGAGGGAGGAGACGAUGUUAGUAUUUCCAUAGGAAAAAAAAAUAGAAGAAGAACAAGAACAACGACGGCAAUCUCGGGUUCCAGGUACGAUGGAGCCGGCGGCGAAGCGCAUGGUGCUCGCAAACGUGAUAGUGGAUGGCGACGAUACCCUCAACUGCGGCAUCUGCUACCUCCCUCUCAAGCCACCAGUCUUCUAGUGUGGCGUCGGUCAUACCAUAUCCUCGCGGUGCCACGACAAGAUGGUGGCGGCAAGGAGGUGCCGUGUGUGUCACAUCCGGUUGACCGGCGGCUAUCGCUGGAACAUCGCACUGGAGAGGCUAACAGAGUCCAUCCGGGUGCCGUGCGCCAACGCCGCGCACGGCUGCACUGCCACGCCGGCCUACUAUGACCACCCCGACCACCUCAAGGCGUGCCCUCACGACGCCGUGCUAUUGCCCGCAGGCAGACUGCGGUUUCGCUAGCUCCAUGGCGGCACUCCUGGACCACUUUGCCGACACGCACGGUGGCCGUGCAUGACCGAGCUUGGGCCUGGGCGUGCAUCGAGGUCCAGCUCUGUGACGGCUUCAACGCCUUCUCGGCCCGUGCCCAAUGCCGGCAGUACCUGUUCCUGCUGAACGUGGCGUUGAACCCGUUUGGCCGAGCGGUCUCCGUGCUCUCCCUGCAUCCUCGGGCGUUGUCGGCGGCGCCAUGUUCUUUGGAGUUCGAGGUAAGACUCAGGUACUGCUGCAACAUCAACCACCGUGGCGACACCAGGAAACUACGUUUAAAGUAGGGUGCACUGAUCUCUCCGAACUCAGAUUUAUGACAAGGACACAAGCAAAUUUAUAGCAUCCGUUGUGAUGAUACAAGGGAAGUAAGCAUAGAUGCGCUCAACGUGAUGAUAGGUGGGAGAGCUCGGCCUAUGCUGCCAACUGAUCUGCAGCGGUGCAGAAGGAGAUUUCAAAAGCAGGGCAAGCGAGAGCGACUGUUCUAUUGAUGGUCAAAAGGGAGGGCUUGGCAAGAGAGAUUGAGGGAGCUCUACUACCUCGAUCUUGGCAUAGAACCUGAUGGCAUCAUGCCCAGGAAACUUCCUUCUUCAGUAUGUAUGGGGAUUUAUAUGACACCAAAAGAGAAGUCCGGCGUGUUUCUUGGUUCUAUGGAACCCCUCGACCGGAAGCAAAUAGAUCACAUCGCAAGUUGCUUGCCCAAUAUAAUCGUGCCGCAAGUUACCAACAUCGCGUGCUUAUACACCAUCGACUUUGCUGGAAAUCUAUCUGUCCGUGCUCCACCGUCUGUCGGAACUUCUUCUGCCCAUGCUACACCUGAGCUCAACACUGCAUCGCCCGGUUCGUUUGCUUGCUUCCUUUGCUUGGCUCAGGAAGGAGAAGGCCAGGACUAGCGACAAGAACCUAAGGGUCUUGCGUCACGGCCUUUGCCCAGAAGGCGAAGAACUAAAACUAUUUUUUUUUACCUUCCAAAAAAUUACAUGAUACAUAACUACUCCCUCCGUUCAGAAAUACUUGUCAUCAAAAUGGACAAAAGAAGACAUAUCUAGACGUAUUUUAGUUCUAGAUACAUUCUUUUUUGUCCAUUUUGAUGACAAGUAUUUUCGGGCGGAGGGAGUAUUAUUAGACUUUAGAUCUCAACCAUUAUAAUCUAGACCAAUUGAUCUUUGCCCCGUUUUUUCUGGUAUGUAUACUACAAAUCUAUUUUCCAAUCCAAGUACACAAAGUUUUUUUUUAAAGAGCUGAGUAAGUUAUAAGAAA